GGCAGCCGUGCAGAGAAGGAGUGCUGGAGUUGGGGCUGGAACAGUCCGGAGCCAGGUGUCAUGAGCAGCUGGAGAGAGUGAGGGGGGACCCUGGGCAGUGGGCCCAGCACGGGGAGACUCCUCAGCCAGGAGGCUCUGCAGGCCAGACUCGGAGGGGGAUUGGUAACCCUGACAGGGUGG